GAUGAACGCUGGCGGCGUGCUUAACACAUGCAAGUCGAACGGUGAAGCAGAGCUUGCUCUGUGGAUCAGUGGCGAACGGGUGAGUAACACGUGAGCAACCUGCCCCCGACUCUGGGAUAAGCGCUGGAAACGGCGUCUAAUACUGGAUAUGAGCUGCGACCGCAUGGUCAGCAGUUGGAAAGAUUUUUCGGUCUGGGAUGGGCUCACGGCCUACCAGCUUGUUGGUGAGGUAAUGGCUCACCAAGGCGUCGACGGGUAGCCGGCCUGAGAGGGUGACCGGCCACACUGGGACUGAGACACGGCCCAGACUCCUACGGGAGGCAGCAGUGGGGAAUAUUGCACAAUGGGCGAAAGCCUGAUGCAGCAACGCCGCGUGAGGGAUGACGGCCUUCGGGUUGUAAACCUCUUUUAGCAGGGAAGAAGCGAAAGUGACGGUACCUGCAGAAAAAGCGCCGGCUAACUACGUG
rnacentral:rRNA from 1 species